rnacentral:rRNA from 1 species
GAUGAACGCUAGCUACAGGCUUAACACAUGCAAGUCGCGGGGCAGCAUGGGGGUUGCUUGCAAUCCCCGAUGGCGACCGGCGCACGGGUGAGUAACGCGUAUCCAACCUGCCCUUCACCACGGGAUAACCCGGCGAAAGUCGGACUAAUACCGUAUGUUGUCCAUUGACGGCAUCCGAUUUGGACGAAAGGCUUGGCGGUGAGGGAUGGGGAUGCGUCCGAUUAGCCAGACGGCGGGGUAACGGCCCACCGUGGCUACGAUCGGUAGGGGUUCUGAGAGGAAGGUCCCCCACACUGGAACUGAGACACGGUCCAGACUCCUACGGGAGGCAGCAGUGAGGAAUAUUGGGCAAUGGGCGUAAGCCUGAACCAGCCAAGUAGCGUGCAGGAUGACGGCCCUAUGGGUUGUAAACUGCCUUUAUGCGGGGAUAAAGUGGCCCACGUGUGGGCUUUUGCAGGUACCGCAUGAAUAAGGACCGGCUAAUUCCGUG